rnacentral:tmRNA from 1 species
GGGGGCGAUUAGGAUUCGACGACGGUUACGAAACCUAAGGUGCAUGUCGAGUGCGUAGUGGUACUCGCUAAUUAAAUCACUACAAAUCUGUUAGUUGCCAAAACAACUACCAACACUGGGCUAAGUGGCCUUGUUGCAGCGAAUGAUGAAUUCGCUGUAAUGGCUGCUUAAUCUGCUACUAACCUAGUAGACCCAGCAGUUCAACCGGCUCGCUUGCUGGCUGGUUUUAUGGACUGUCAUUGUAAGUAAGCUCGUCACGUUCAGUAUGCCUGUGGCUGACGGACUAAAACUUAAUAGGAUCGCUCUGCCUCACCCCGACCGCUGGGUCGUAGCAGGGUUAAAUUAAAGGCGGAUCUAAGCAUGUAGAGCCAAAGGCGUAGGAUUGGCGGACGCGGGUUCAAAUCCCGCCGCCUCCACCA